rnacentral:rRNA from 1 species
CCCAAACCACCCUGAAUGCACUCAUCUCUUUGGAUCUCAAAAGCAAAGCAGGACCAGAAUUGGUUUAUAGUUAGAGGGGAGACUGCUAGUGACUAUUGAGUACUAAAGGC